rnacentral:rRNA from 1 species
UACGAGGGGGGCAAGCGUUGUUCGGAAUUAUUGGGCGUAAAGGGCGCGUAGGCGGUGCGGUAAGUCACCUGUGAAAUCUCUGGGCUCAACUCAGAGUCUGCAGGCGAAACUGCCGUGCUGGAGUAUGGGAGAGGUGCGUGGAAUUCCCGGUGUAGCGGUGAAAUGCGUAGAUAUCAGGAGGAACACCGGUGGCGAAGGCGGAUCUCUGGGCCAUUACUGACGCUGAGGAGCGAAAGCGUGGGGAGCGAACAGG